AGAAAGCGCUACUGCGGAGUGAACCGGUCCUUAUAUCUUAGUUUCGUGACUUUGGGGGCGGCAGGCCUGUGAGUUGUUUUCCGCCCUGGACGCUGUUUUGCAAAGAUCUCUGCGCGCCCACCGCCACCCUCCCGGGCGUGCGGGCCGGGAAGCAGCCAGCGGUGGGAAACUCCGACGCCCUCCUCGACACUUUUCUCCCCCCAACUCCCCAAGACUCACUUCUAGGGAAGUCCUUUUUCCCAUCAAGCCCUGGGAAAGACUGGCCAGGCUGAGAGAGGGACCCGUCCUCCUCUGUGCCAAAGGCGGGAGCAAAUCCUGGUGCUGUCGCCUUUGGAUGAAACUUUUCGCGCAGAAACUCCUGGAGAACAGCCCCGGCCGCCAGGUACUCGCCCGCCCGGACCGCAAAGCCCACAGAGCUUCAAUUCGCAGGAAGGGGAGUGGGGAGCCCUGAGCUGGGGUGUUCCUGGAAGAGGUCGGGGAGCGGGGGGAGAGGCAUUCCAGGCUGGAGGCCUGGAAACGUUUGGAAGCUUUGCUAACCUUGGAGACCAUGUCAGGAAAGAAGCGUACCCAGGCCGUCUGCUGUGUGCCCACCCCGAUCCCCAUCAGUGCCCCACGCACUCGAGCUCUUCUUCGGCGUCUGCAGCCUCUUCAUCCGCGCGGAGAGGCGGAGGUCUCCCGGAAACAGUGUCCGACUGUGGCACCCCAGAGCGUCCAAUGCGAGCUCAGGCCUUUCCCGCAAGUCUGGAGUUUUCUUAUCCAGUUGAGGCCGCCUUCGCUGUACUCACUCUCUGCCUCCCACCCCAUCUUCUGCCACCCGACCUCCAUCUUUGAUGGUUAGCGCCUUCAGCCCUCAACAGCUUCGCACAACCAACCCCUAGAAGCCGUGGAGUCAGACCGGCCAGGGUGGGACCUAGGUUUUAACUCGGGUUCUGGCUACACACGCUGCGCCUCCAUACAGUUUGUCCCAGGUUUGGCAGCAGGCCGGCUACCUUCAGGAAUUCUUUGCUUUGGCUUCUGUCUGUUCCUGUCUGUUGGGCAAGUUUCUAGCUACCCCACUGAGAGAACCAUAGAACAAGGACCCUGGCAUGGCAUACAGACAAGGAAUGUUUGCUGAAUUAAUGGAGCUGGUGCCUUGCAGCUUCCCUUUUGUUCCUUGAAGUUGCCCUUGCUCUCCUCCACAUCAGCUCCCUCUCCUCCUCAGCUACUUAUUCCCCACCCUGGCUUCUUCUAGUCGCAGUCCCCAAGUACUUGCUGAAUCCUGUAUGGACAGCCUAAGCCUCCAUUUCUGACAAUUCCUGUGGCCCCACUCCAUUUGUUUUUUAGACUUCUCCCUCCUUUUUGUCCCCAUCCCCCAAGUUAUAAAACUAUAAUGCAAUUCUUUGGAUUUUUCUUUAAAAAAUCACACUUGUUCAAUCCUGCAGCAGCCACUGUCCAACUCUAGCCUUCUCACCACCGCUGAAUUAGGAAACCUCCUAAGAGGCCCGCACCCGCACUGUAUGCUGCAGCAUACAAAGACAGCUGAGAGCUCCCCUCCAGGAAACCUUCCCAUCACCAAAAAGAGUGGUGUGGGAGGCCUGGUUUCACACAUAUAGGGAUCCUCUACCCUUCUCCUUUGGCAAGACAUUGAGGGCCCAUGGCCAUAGAGGACAGGCCCUUCUUCACAAUGAAACUCAGAGGAUUUUUGAAGAAGGCAGGACACAGCAUGAGUGUGAGGCAGGAAGAAUAAGGCAGAAGAGAGGUGCUUUUUAAAAGUUUUUAUUUCAAAAAAUAAAGCUGCAGUUCAUUUCACAUAAAUAUCUGGGGAGGGAAGGGGAGUGGGAUGGGGUGGGGGCUUGGCCCCUACCUCCUCUUCUCUUUCACACUGUAUUGUAAAAGCAAAGGGGAUGGCUAAGGAGAGAAUGAGGAAGUAGUAGUCAGUGGGGAAUGUUCUUAUAUUAUUCAAAGGGCCCCUCAGCCCACCCUUCCCCUGAGGACUGUAGGAUGGUUGGGGGGAGUCUGAAGGGGGUGUGAUCCCAGGGAGGGUGGCCUGGCUUACCUUGCCGAACCAGCGGGAGAGCCAUAUCUGCUUCAUUGUCAUGUGAUCAGGGAGAACUUCAUUGUCAAAAAGGAGCUGCACCUAGGAGGGAGAUGGGGGCAUAAUUUUAGGAACUUUCUGGCAGGUCAAAAACUACCCUGGUCCACCCUAGACUCUGUCCCUCCUUUCUUAGCCCCUUCUCCCCCUCAAGAAACCUACUGUGGGACUACUCACAUGCUGAGGGUUUAGCAUCAAGCGGUGACACAGGACCCUCCGGAGAUGGCGUACCUCAGCUCUAACAGAACAUCGGACAUACUUGUUCUGGGAGCAGGGAGGGGAGGGAAGAGGGCAAGGUGUGUGAGGGAAGGACCAUGGGAGGUGAGUCUCCUUAGAGAGGCCCUCCCCUCAGCCCUUCUCACCUGCAGGACGCUUUUAUUCUUGUCUUUGCCAGAACUGGGGGGAAAUAGACACAGGUUAGGGAAUCCUAUCUUUCCUCCUCUUCCCCACCCAGAGCCAUGAUAUACUCUCUUCAAGGGGAUAGGCACUCACUCACUGCUCAGCCUCUCCCCUAGACCCUCCCUGGCUCUGGGUCAUUGGCACUGUCACCUCCUGCAACCCCUGACCUUCUCCUCACCUCAGCCGCUCCAGGCACAGGUUCAACUGCUCAUCAUAGCGAUAGUAGUGGGCUUUAGAGUGGUCAAAGCUGCUGAAGGGGAGGCCGAGGUUGCUCAGUGCUGGCUCUGAGAAAGAUAGGGUAGUGAGGUGGCUGGUGGCACACAUUCCAUACUCCUCUUUCCCCAGAGAGCAAAACUGGGCAAGAAGAAUGCUCUGGGGUCUUUACUGUCCCGCGGCCAAGGACAUACCUUCCCCAGUGGGCUGGGUGACCCGGUCCAAACCUCGGGACUGGUAGAAUUCCCGAAUCCGUUUCUCUUCACCUAGAAGAAGGUGAAGUAUGAGAAUAAAGUAUUAGCCCUUCGGGGCCGGGCGCGGUGGCUCACGCCUGUAAUCCCAGCACUUUGGGAGGCAGAGGUGGGCAGAUCAUGAAGUCAGGAGAUUGAGGCCAUCCUGGCUAACAUGGUGAAACCCCGUCUCUACUAAAAAAUAUAAAAAAUUAGCUGGGCAUGGUGGUGGGCGCCUGUAGUCCCAGCUACUCAGGAGGCUGAGGCAGGAGAAUGGCAUGAAUCCAGGAGGUGGAGCUUGCAGUGAGCUGAGAUUGCGCCACUGCACUCCAGCCUGGGCAAGACUCCGUCUCAAAAAAAGAAAAAAAAGAAUAAAGUAUUAGCCCUUCCUCACUUUUUGUCCUUCCCUCAUCUUUGGCCUUCUGCCUACGUGAGUCCUACCAAACCCGUCACCUCAAGCUGCCACUCAGCAAUUAGUCCUCAAGAGGCCCCUCAAAGUCAGGUUGGUGACUCACUGUCUUGCAAGCCAGGCACCAGCUUAUACACGAUGUCCUGCAUGACCCGGUCCAGUUUGAGGUUGAGCAGUGGCUGUGUCUCGUGGAUCUUAAUGUUGCACAUGGGGCAGUACUUGCUAGUUUGGAGGUACUUCACAAUACAACUCUUGCAGACUGCAGGAAAAGAAAAGCAGAUUCUCAGGCCCUCUGGAAACUGGAUUCAUGGGCUGGGUGGGGUGCCUGGAUGCGUGAGGCAGGCCGCACAGAAGCUGGCAGUCAGCUUGGUGAAGACUAGGGACUGGAAGAACUAGGCAGUCUCCAAGGCACUCACAAGUAUGAAGACACUCUGUGAUGGUGGUGGCAUCCACGAAGUAGCCGGCGCAUAGGCAGCAAACAAUGUGUUCAUUCAAGUCUUUGAUCUUCACUCGAACCUCCUCCUGAAGAUACACCCUCCGUCACCAAUCAUCCACCCUCAAACCCCAACCCGUGCGCCUUCCCACCUUGGGGGUCGCCUCCUUCAUCACACUAGACGGCCAAGCCCCGCGCCCUGCGCCAUCAGCCGGGGAUUAGCUCCUGGGGGCUGGCACUCCCCCUCCGCCCAGCAGAGGGCUCCGCGCACAGCGGGGGCUUCCCUCACGUGGACUCGCCUGACCCUCCUUUCCCAGGGGAGACUACACAACGUCGGCGACACAACGCGCAGGCGUCCUAACCGGAGUUUGGCAACCCG
rnacentral:lncRNA from 1 species